GUCCUACGGGAGAGCAGCAGUGGGGGAUAUUGCACAAUGGGGGAAACCCUGAUGCAGCGACGCCGCGUGAGCGAUGAAGUAUUUCGGUAUGUAAAGCUCUAUCAGCAGGGAAGAAAAUGACGGUACCUGACUAAGAAGCCCCGGCUAACUAAGUGCCAGCAGCCGCGGUAAUACGGAGGGGGCAAGCGUUAUCCGGAUUUACUGGGUGUAAAGGGAGCGUAGACGGCAGGGCAAGGAUGAAGUGAAAGGCAAGGGCUCAACACUUGGACUGCUUUGGAAACUGUGCUGCGG
rnacentral:rRNA from 1 species